UACGAAGGGGGCUAGCGUUGCUCGGAAUUACUGGGCGUAAAGCGCACGUAGGCGGCUUUCUAAGUCGGGGGUGAAAUCCUGGAGCUCAACUCCAGAACUGCCUUCGAUACUGGAAAGCUCGAGUCCGGGAGAGGUGAGUGGAACUGCGAGUGUAGAGGUGAAAUUCGUAGAUAUUCGCAAGAACACCAGUGGCGAAGGCGGCUCUCUGGACCGAGACUGACGCUGAGGCGCGAAAGCGUGGGGAGCAAACAGG
rnacentral:rRNA from 1 species